ACGUAGGCAGCGAGCGUUGUUCGGAGUUACUGGGCGUAAAGGGUGUGUAGGCGGUUCUCUAAGUUUGGUGUGAAAUCUCCCGGCUCAACCGGGAGGGUGCGCCGAAAACUGGAGGGCUAGAGUGCGGGAAGGGAGAGUAGAAUUCCUGGUGUAGCGGUGAAAUGCGUAGAUAUCAGGAGGAAUACCGGUGGUGUAGACGGCUCUCUGGACCGCGACUGACGCUGAGACACGAAAGCGUGGGUAGCAAACAGGA
rnacentral:rRNA from 1 species